AACGCACCUUGCGCUCCUUGGUAUUCCGAGGAGCAUGCCUGUUUGAGUGUCAUUAAAUCAUCAAACAUUAUGAUUUUAAAAGAUUGUAGUGUUUGGAUAUGGAAGUGUUGUUGGCCUUUUCUUUGGUCAGCUCUUCUUAAAUUCAUUAGCCAGGAGCUUUUGUAACUGUCUAUUGGUGUGAUAAUUAUCUAUGCCAUCGAAAGCUACACUUUUAUAAGACUUCUGCUUCUAACUGUCUAUUGGACAAUUUUUGACAAUUUGACCUCAAAUCAGGUAGGACUACCCGCUGAACUUAA
rnacentral:misc_RNA from 1 species